rnacentral:rRNA from 1 species
CUUGGUCAUUUAGAGGAAGUAAAAGUCGUAACAAGGUUUCCGUAGGUGAACCUGCGGAAGGAUCAUUAUAGAAAGUAAACGCGGGUCAAACCGUGAACUUCUAAACCUUCGACGAUUGACUCACGUUGCCUCGGCGGGUUCGCCCGCCAGAGGAUACAUCGAAACUCCUGUUUUAACGGUGUUGUCUGAGCUACAAGCAACGAAUCAAAACUUUCAACAACGGAUCUCUUGGUUCUGGCAUCGAUGAAGAACGCAGCGAAAUGCGAUAAGUAGUGUGAAUUGCAGAAUUCAGUGAAUCAUCGAAUCUUUGAACGCACAUUGCGCCCCUUGGUAUUCCGGGGGGCAUGCCUGUUCGAGCGUCAUUUCACCACUCAAGCCUGGCUUGGUGUUGGGCGACGUCCUCUUUUGGGGACGCGUCUCGAAACGCUCGGCGGCGUGGCACCGGCUUUAAGCGUAGCAGAAUCUUUCGCUUUGAAAGUCGGGGCUCCGUCUGCCAGAAGACCUACUCGCAAGGUUGACCUCGGAUCAGGUAGGGAUACCCGCUGAACUUAAGCAUAUCAAUAAGCGGAGGAAAAGAAACCAACAGGGAUUGCCUCAGUAACGGCGAGUGAAGCGGCAACAGCUCAAAUUUGAAAUCUGGCUCUUUUAGGGUCCGAGUUGUAAUUUGUAGAAGAUGCUUCGGGUGUGGCUCCGGUCUAAGUUCCUUGGAACAGGACGUCAUAGAGGGUGAGAAUCCCGUAUGUGACUGGCUGCCUUCGCCUAUGUGAAGCUCUUUCGACGAGUCGAGUUGUUUGGGAAUGCAGCUCAAAAUGGGUGGUAAAUUUCAUCUAAAGCUAGAUAUUGGCCAGAGACCGAUAGCGCACAAGUAGAGUGAUCGAAAGAUGAAAAGCACUUUGGAAAGAGAGUUAAACAGUACGUGAAAUUGUUGAAAGGGAAGCGCUUGCAACCAGACCUGCCUGCAGUUGCUCAUCCGGGCUUUUGCCCGGUGCACUCUUCUGCUGUCAGGCCAGCAUCAGUUCGGGCGGUCGGAUAAAGGCUUCGGGAAUGUAGCUCCUCUCGAGGAGUGUUAUAGCCCGUCGCGAAAUGCGGCCAGCCUGGACUGAGGUCCGCGCUUCGGCUAGGAUGCUGGCGUAAUGGUUGUAAGCGGCCCGUCUUGAAACACGGACC